UGCCCAGCAGCUCCUAUCCCUACCUCCUCGUGGUACUGGCCGGGGUACGAGUAACCUUGGGGAAGAUCGGGUAACCAACCCCCGGUGGGAACUUUGGUCGUAUGCUGACAGGGAAGG
rnacentral:ribozyme from 1 species